rnacentral:lncRNA from 1 species
GACUACCCUUCGGUCCUAACAACCGAACUCGACUACUAUCACAUACAACGUAUCAUGCUAGCAUAUAACAUAUCAGGUAGUAGUAAACCUAGAUGAUAUCACAAAGACAAUCAUCUACCAUACGUCUCCUACUGGUGGGUCGGCGUUGUGGCCUUAGACCCACCGCUACUGGAAGGUAACUCACCUCGAAGUAGCUGCUGAUCUGAUCGGGAACUGACUGCCUACUGCUGCUGCUGCUGCUCCGGAAAUCCUCCGGCUGCAAUUCCCACAAUAUACCCAAUCAAACACUGCUCACUGACCUUUGGGUAAAAUGACCAUUUUACCCCUGACCAUGCCCUAAGUCAAAGUCAGAGUCAACUUUCAGUUGACCCGACUCGCCGAGUUGGCUUUCCAACUCGCCGAGUCCCUAUCCAAACGACUGCCCUGAAUCCCGAUCCUACCCGUCGAGUUAGGCGACGACUCGACGGGUUUACCUUCUUAACCAAUAUUCAAGUCCUUCAUCCUACUCGCCGAGUUGUAUGAACAACUCGUCGAGUUCAUCUUCAUCCGAUGAACACUGAUGCUAAGACUCGCCGAGUUGUAUGAACAACUCGUCGAGUCCAUCUUCAUCCGAAGAACACUUAUGCUGAGACUCGCCGAGUUGUAUGAACAACUCGCCGAGUCUGUUCUUGAUCUAAGGAGAUUGCCUUGAACUCGCCGAGUCAGGGCAUUGACUCGCCGAGUACCUCCAUAGAUGAGUUAAGCUUCCGACUCACUGAGUCACACCCCGUGACUCACUGCUCACUCGACACUACGAAAAGGGGACAAACUCGGAGACUCGCGAACAGACUCGCCGAGUCAUAUGAACGACUCGCCGAGUCGUUGCCAUGCACCCACUAAAUACACAGAUUUGCUCGAUUCCAGUCCAUGCCAUUCACAGAUCUGGACUUCUAGGACACGAAUCACACGUAAAGUUUCCAACUUUACGUGUGGAUAUUCACCAAUAUGGAUUUUAGGGCUCAAAAUGCCUCAAAAGGGUAGAUCUAGGGUGAACAAGCAACAUGGGGCCAUAAAGCUAACAGAUCUGAGCUCCUGGAGCUCAAUCUUGCCUAGAUCNNNNNNNNNNNNNNNNNNNNNNNNNNNNNNNNNNNNNNUGUAACGACCCAAUUUUCAUGACCAAAAAUUUCGUUUUAAAAACAUUACUUUAGAAAAUAUUAAAAGCUAAAAACAUUGUCUGAUCAAAUCAUAACACAAGUGAACCAUGUCUAAAAGCCAAUUCAUACAUUCAAUCAAAAUAUCAGAGUACAAAUCCCAGUGAAGCUCGUAAAUGCGGAAACCGGAGAGUGUGUGUGUGACAUGCUGCUACCGCGCCGGCUCCUUUCCCCUAGCUGAGGAGGUACCUGAAACCAAAACUGAAGACUGUAAGCACAAAGCUUAGUGAGUUCCCCCGUCGUACCACAUACCAUACAAACACGUAACAUACAUACUGCCAGGCUAUUCUGGGGUGCCUGACUACCCGGUACGGCCGUUCUGGGGUGCCGUCCUACCCGUGUCAAGCCAUUCUGGGGUGCUGACUACCCAUGUCAAGCCAUUCUGGGGUGCUGACUACCCAUGUCAAGCCAUUCUGGGGUGCUGACUACCCGUCGGUCCUAACAACCGACCACAGGGACUGGUCCCCUCAUACUACCUCUAUCGCAUAUAACAUAACAAGCCAGCAUGCAAACAUAUCAUCAUAUACUGUCAGACGUAUCUGGGGUGUCUGACUACCCUUCGGUCCUAACAACCGAACUCGACUACUAUCACAUACAACGUAUCAUGCUAGCAUAUAACAUAUCAGGUAGUAGUAAACCUAGAUGAUAUCACAAAGACAAUCAUCUACCAUACGUCUCCUACUGGUGGGUCGGCGUUGUGGCCUUAGACCCACCGCUACUGGAAGGUAACUCACCUCGAAGUAGCUGCUGAUCUGAUCGGAAACUGACUGCCUACUGCUGCUGCUGCUGCUCCGGAAAUCCUCCGGCUGCAAUUCCCACAAUAUACCCAAUCAAACACUGCUCACUGACCUUUGGGUAAAAUGACCAUUUUACCCCUGACCAUGCCCUAAGUCAAAGUCAG